CCUACGGUAGGCUGCAGUGAGGAAUAUUGGUCAAUGGACGAGAGUCUGAACCAGCCAAGUAGCGUGAAUGAUGACUGCCCUAUGGGUUGUAAACUUCUUUUAUAUGGGAAUAAAAUGUUCCACGUGUGAGCUUUUGUAUGUACCAUAUGAAUAAGAAUAGGCUAACUCCGUGCCAGCAGCCGCGGUAAUACGGAGGAUCCGAGCGUUAUUCGGAUUUAUUGGGUGUAAAGGGAGCGCAGGUGGAUGGUUAAGUCAGUUGUGAAAGCUUGGGGCUGAACCGUAAAAUUGCAGUUGAUACUGGUAGUCUUGAGUACUGUAGAGGUGGGUAGAAGUCGUGGUGUAGCGGUGAAAUGCUUAGAGAUGACGAAGAACUCCGAUUGCGAAGGCAGUUCACUGGACUGAAACUGACACUGAGGCUCGAAAGUGUGGGUAUCAAACAGGAUUAGAUACCCGUGUAGUC
rnacentral:rRNA from 1 species